rnacentral:rRNA from 1 species
ACGGGUGAGUAAUGCAUCGGGAUCUACCUCAACGUGGGGGAUAACGUAGGGAAACUUACGCUAAUACCGCAUACGUCCUACGGGAGAAAGCAGGGGACCUUCGGGCCUUGCGCGGUGAGACGAACCGAUGUUCGAUUAGCUAGUUGGUAGGGUAAUGGCCUACCAAGGCGACGAUCGAUAGCUGGUCUGAGAGGAUGAUCAGCCACACUGGAACUGAGACACGGUCCAGACUCCUACGGGAGGCAGCAGUGGGGAAUAUUGGACAAUGGGCGCAAGCCUGAUCCAGCAAUGCCGCGUGUGUGAAGAAGGCCUUCGGGUUGUAAAGCACUUUUAUCAGGAACGAAAUACCACGGGUUAAUACCCUAUGGGGCUGACGGUACCUGAGGAAUAAGCACCGGCUAACUUCGUGCCAGCAGCCGCGGUAAUACGAAGGGUGCAAGCGUUAAUCGGAAUUACUGGGCGUAAAGGGUGCGUAGGCGGUUCGUUAAGUCUGUCGUGAAAUCCCCGGGCUCAACCUGGGAAUGGCGAUGGAUACUGGCGAGCUAGAGUGUGUCAGAGGAUGGUGGAAUUCCCGGUGUAGCGGUGA